rnacentral:lncRNA from 1 species
UUUCCUUUUGAAAAUACAUAUCUUUGUAAGGUAGUAUUUUCUUCACAUACUUCAGCCAAAAUAACACAUUACAAUAGAUCGAAUUCAGAAGCAGAUAUAAGAACCCAGGUGUCUUCUAUAAGCCAGACAUCAAAGAGGUUUCCAAAAUUACUGUACUCAAUGCAUUUUGUUUUGCAAAUAUAGUUAUUUUUCUUAUAAAUGUUAUUUAUCUUAAUGUAUUUGAUUUAUUAUUUAAAAAUGAAUAAAUACUUAAAAAUUGCCCAGCUUUAAUUUUAAACAUUGGUAUUGAUAGAUAUAACCCACAUAAACAAAAGCUCUUUGGGGUUCUCAAUAACGUAAGAGUGCAAGUAUCCUAAGAUGUUUGAGAACCACUGUUCCAAGACAAUUGAGAUAACCAAGUAACAAUCCCAGCAGGAAUUCGUGUCUUUCAGACUCAUGGGAAAGUGUAAUUUCACAUCCUAGUCUCCCACGGGAUCCACCUCUUACAAUCUGGAGUAUCUUACUUUGCCUGCCAUCUUUUAUUUACUCCCUUUUCAACAUGCUUUUUCCCUAUACCUGGGAAGAAGCUGCUAGUUGUCCCUCAAUAUCUGCUCUUUCUUUUUUCUGUAGUCAAAGAACCCCAGAUACUUAUCUGCCACGCAACUGCCUAUGAAAAAAAAGAUGAAAUUUCUGUCCUUGCAGCUAGAUGUAGACAUCAGACUAAAUUCUGGCCAAUGGGGUACAUGAAGAAAUGGUAAAUACAGGCCGGGCACGGUGGCUCACGCCUGCAAUCCUAGCACUUUGGGAGGCCAAGGCAGGCGAUCACUAGGUCAGGAGUUCCAGACCAGCCUGGCCAAGAUGGUGAAACCCGAUCUCUACUAAAAAAAAAUACAAACAUUAGUCAGGCAUGGUGGUGGGCACCUGUAAUCCCAGCUACUCGGGAGGCUGAGGCAGAGAAUUGCUUGCACCAGGGAGGCAGAGGUUGCAGUGAGCUGAGAUCCAGCGACAGAGCAAGACUCCGUCUCAAAAAAAAAAAAAAAAAAAAAAAAAAGAAAUGGUAAAUGCAACUUCUGGCAAGUUUUCUUUUUUUUUUUUUGAGAUGGAGUCUCACUGUGUCCCCCAGGCUGGAGUGCAGUGGUGUGAUCUCGGCUUACUGUAACCUCCCUCUUGCAGGUUCAAGUGAUUCUCCUGCCUCAGCCUGAGUAGCUGGGAUUACAGACGUGUGCCAGCACAUCUGGCUAAUUUUUGUAUUUUUAGUAGAGAUGGGAUUUCACCAUGUUGGCGAGGCUGGUCUCAAACUCCUGACUCAAGUGAUCCGCCCACCUCGGCCUCCCAAAGUGCUGGGAUUAUAGGCGUGAGCCACAGCGCCCAGUCAUGGCAAGUUUUCUUAAAGGAAAGGGGUGUGCCUUCCUUUCUGCUAACUGAAAUGUGGACUCAGUGUCUGUUACUAUAUUAGACUAUGUAGAAAAGAGUCAUACCCUAUGAUUGGGAGAUUUGGAAAACUGGAAGGAGCCUGGGUCCCCAGUAACUCUGUGUAACUACCAACCUAACCAGUGUUAUUCCUAAAGAGUACAUCAAUGCCCACACAAAUCUCAAGACAGUCUGGUGCACAUGGUAACUUUCCCCAGGGAGAGCAGAACUAGCACUGAUACACUAGUUCUUUUACUAUCAGAA